rnacentral:rRNA from 1 species
GACGGGGGGGGCAAGUGUUCUUCGGAAUGACUGGGCGUCAAGGGCACGUAGGCGGUUCAUCGGGUGGAAAGUGAAAGUCGCCAAAAAGUGGCGGAAUGCUCUCGAAACCAAUGAACUUGAGUGAGACAGAGGAGAGUGGAAUUUCGUGUGUAGGGGUGAAAUCCGGAGAUAGACGAAGGAACGCCAAAAGCGAAGGCAGCUCUCUGGGUCCCUACCGACGCUGGGGUGCGAAAGCAUGGGGAGCG